rnacentral:misc_RNA from 1 species
UAGAUAGUCUUCCAUGGAAAACACAAAAGUGUAAAAAGUGACGUAUCGCGGGAGUUUUUAAAAAACAACUUUUCAUAGUUAUAAGUGGACCAAUCGGACUUUAGUUCAAAACAUUUGAAGUAACUGUGAAGAAAUAUCAGUGUGACCCAAAAUCUUCUCGGAGAUGCAUCAAAAUAGCCGGGCGACACCUGCGUCUAUGUUAAACUACAGGAAGCGUCCUCGACAAACUGGCAUUUCUGAUCCCCUGGCUGGACAAUUGGGAUGUCGACCUGGACCAUCAGGAGCAGCUGGGUACUCUGGUCUGAUGCCUGUUGGUGGUUUCGGUCAGCAACACAGAAAUUAUCCAACAUCUGGAAGAGGAGCAGCAACCUUUAAUAGAAACACUUCAAAUAAUGCUUACAGCGACCCACCAGUAGGACGAGGUUAUCAAGGUGUUGUUCAAAGAAGCAACGUUCCGAGUACAUCGGGAACAUAUCAGCAAGGUGUCCGUAGGAAUACUGCCCAAAAUAGGAGUAUUCCAUCUGGCAGCGGACAGCCAUCCACACAAACAUACAACACAAUGCCACAAAAUAUCCGCAAUUCUGCACAUUCUUUUAAGCAAGGUUGUCCUUACAACGAAGGUAACUCUACUAGUGGAUAUGGAAGAGGCAGGGGAGUUCACCAGAACAACUGGAACUAUGGGAACCAGCAGUACAACAGCAGCAAUGUAAUGGGAAACAGCACAAGGGCUACAUCUUAUGGAACAGACUGUUGUCACCACAAGAAACAGUCAACAGCAGCAACAAAGAAACAACUGGCCGAAUCCAGCCAAUCAAAGAAUGCAGUCAUACAAUAUUUAUCAAUAUAACAAUAGAGGAGUUACUCAUAAUGAGGCUGAGGAUAUUGCAGACGAGUGGAAUAAUAGUUUCACAGAAUCAACUUCUAUGUCUGGACAAAGUACAAAUAAAGUGAACAAAAAUGUAGUAAAGCCUAGUAAUGCAGACAAGACAGC